rnacentral:rRNA from 1 species
UACGAAGGGGGCUAGCGUUGCUCGGAAUCACUGGGCGUAAAGCGCACGUAGGCGGCUUUCUAAGUCAGGGGUGAAAUCCUGGAGCUCAACUCCAGAACUGCCUUUGAUACUGGAGUGCUUGAGUCCGGGAGAGGUGAGUGGAACUCCGAGUGUAGAGGUGAAAUUCGUAGAUAUUCGGAAGAACACCAGUGGCGAAGGCGGCUCACUGGCCCGGUACUGACGCUGAUGUGCGAAAGCGUGGGGAGCAAACAGGG